UAUUUAGUAAAUUUAUUUUUCAAUCUUGUUUUCCUUUAGAAAUAAUUUCUUCCGUGCCGGCAAUCCUCCCCCCUCCCUUCUCCAAAUAAAAAAUACUUAAUUGUUCCCAGUCUCACACGCCACAACUGUAAAACUGUUCCUACAUCGCGUAUCAGCCAUGUUUGUUCUGAUGUGUUCCAACUCGAAGCUUCUGAAUCUCAAUCGUGGGAAUUCUUAUAUCAUCUUCACUCAUUUAACUAAGUUUUUGUAAACACAGGGACGUCCGAUCGACUAGAUGAAAAAUACCUCAUUUCAAUUUGUAGUUUUCACCUUGGAAAAUAAGCUUUUAUAAGAUAACUUAAGUGAGCUUGAUAAAAUCACUUGACAUGUCUUAUAUUUCAGGCGAUUCGUUGGCUGAUGACUUAGAAGAACCAUCGGUUUUAGAUCAAAUUGAAGAAUCAGAGGUUCAUCUUCCUACUAAACAUGCUACCCCUCCUCCAAAGAAAAAAAAAUAUGCAGAUGACGUACUACAAGUGCAGUAUGAGGCUCUCCAGCUUCAAAAGGAGAAUCUCCUCCUGAAAAAUCAAAAACUAACAUUGGAGGUCUUUCUUUUGAGGAAAAGUAUAACAGAGGAAUGAGGUGAGCACCCAAAAGUCUCAAUGAUUGUCAAAA